rnacentral:rRNA from 1 species
GCGGAGGAAAAGAAACUAACAAGGAUUCCCCUAGUAACGGCGAGUGAAGAGGGAAGAGCUCAANUUUUAANUCUGCCUUGUUCCAAGGUCGAGUUGUAAUUUGAAGAAGCGUUUUCUUGGGCUCGCGGCCGGUAGAAGUUCUUUGGAACAGGACAUCAUAGAGGGUGACAAUCCCGUCCGUGACCGGUCGUGCGUUCAUCUACGAUACGCUUUCAAAGAGUCGAGUUGUUUGGGAUUGCAGCUCCAAACGGGUGGUAAACAUCACCUAAGGCUAAAUAUUGGCGAGAGACCGAUAGCGAACAAGUACCGUGAGGGAAAGAUGAAAAGAACUUUGAAAAGAGAGUUAAACAGUACGUGAAAUUGUUGAAAGGGAAACGAUUGAAGUCAGUCGUGCUGGCGCGAAAUCAACCCUCUCGUCUUGAGAUCACAUGGCGCGACGAGCCUCAAAACCGUCACGAAGCGUGAACUCUUGACGAAAAGGUGCACUUUCGUGUCCGCUGGUUAACAUCAAUUUCGAACGUCAUAAAAAGGCUGGAGGGAUGUGGCUCCUUCGGGAGUGUUAUAACCUUUAGCGGAAUGUGGCGUUCGGGAUUGAGGAUUGCAACGAAUACCUUCAGGGCUGUUCCACCUGGCUUCUCAUUGGUAUCCUGGUGACGACAGCUUGCUGACGUCGUUAGGAUCAGCUUCUGAACAGGCUAGAGUGUGAGCAAAUUCGUUAAGGAUGUUAACGUAAUGGCUUUAAACGACCCGUCUUG